AUUAAAUGCAUAUGAAAUUUUAAUUACAUUGUCCUAACUGAACAUGCUCUUCAUUUUCCUUUAGAAAAACCAUAAGGAGAGAAAAAGCUUACCUAGAAUAAUAGUCCAAUAUCCUCUGGCCACGCAUUUAUAAGAGCCGUGUGUAUUUUUGCAUAAUCCAUUACACAGACUUCGCACCAUUGAAUCCUCGCAUUCAUUAACAUCUGAAAAAUUGUAAUCAGAAAAGGAAAAUAUAUGUAUCUGAACACAGAAAUUUUAAAGAAAAUGAUAUCCAAAAUUAACUUUAUAUUGAAGAUGAAUGAUAUUUACUCUACCUUCGCAUCCAACCGGUAGAUAAGGGUUGCCGGUGAAGCCCUUACGACACAUUAAGAUUGUGUUGUUGUGGUAUGGGAAAUCGAAUUUGUCAUAGCAGACCAUGGGACCAUGGU
rnacentral:misc_RNA from 1 species